rnacentral:rRNA from 1 species
UUGAAAGGGAAACGAUUGAAGUCAGUCGUACCGACGAGGAAUCAACCUUUUGAGGGUGGAUAUGUGGGAUUCAAAGUGCCUUUUGUUUUUCGCAUCAUCGGCUUUUUUUUGGGUGUACUUUUCUCGUAUGGUUGGUCAGCAUCGGUUCUGAUCGUUAUAAAAUGACAGGAGGAAUGUAGCUUCGAUCUCGUAUUGAAGUGUUAUAGCCUUUGGUAGAUGUAACGGUUAGGAUCGAGGAUUGCAAUGGAUACCCUNAUGGGCUAUCCGCCUGGCCUCUGAUUUGUCACUUUGGUGCCGAAAGCGUGCUUAUGGUAUUAAAGUGUACGGUCAAAAGGUUAGAACGGAAUAAAUUCAAUUAAGGAUGUUGACGUA